AUUACAACAGAUAUAAUCUACAUGUUCUUACUUUUAACCGGAUAACUGCGGUAAUUCUGGAGCCAAUACGUGCCUAAAGGGGUGUUCAGCAAUGAGCAUUCUGCACUUAUCGGAGCAAAACUAAUCUUGUUUUAUGCUAACUCUGGAUAACCAAGCUUAUCGCAGGUCUUCGGACGGCGAAGUAACAUUCGAGUAUCUGCCCUAUCAUCUAUCGUAGGUAGUGUAUUGGACUACCCAGGAGGUCACGGGUAACGGAGAAUCAGGGUUCGACUCCGGAGAGGGAGCCUUAGAAACGGCUACCAUUUCUAAGGAAAGCAGCAGGCGCGCAACUUAUCCACUGUCCACUAGGACGAGAUAGUGACGAGAAAUAACAAGUUCGUUCUCUUUGAGGUCGAACAUUGGAAUGGACCGAAUUUAAAAGAUUCGGUGAGUACCCACGAGAGGGCAAGUCUGGUGCCAGCAGCCGCGGUAAUUCCAGCUCUCGUAAUGUAUAGAAUUAUUGUUGCGGUUAAAAAGUUCGUAGUUGGAUUUCAUACCACUUGCAGGUAGUGUUUAACGAUGCUUACUUGCGGUGGUGUUUACAUCGAGUCGAGUUCACUUGGCUAGAUGUGGAUUACUUUGAACGGCUUAAGUGCUCAAGGCGAGUCUUCGGACUGAAUACCGGUGCAUGGAAUAAUGGAACAGGGUUUCGGCUGAGUUUUAUUGGUUUUGUCGGCAGAGACAAUGGUUAACAGGAACAGCUGGGGGCACUCGUAUCCCGGCGCGAGAGGUGAAAUUCGUGGACCGUCGGGAGACGCCCUAAAGCGAAAGC
rnacentral:rRNA from 1 species